AGCCAUUCAUUUCUUCAACUCCUGUUC
rnacentral:piRNA from 1 species